GCUGGGAAUGCCCCUGGUGGUGUGUGCCUGUAAUCUCAGCUUUCUGGGAGGUUGAGGCAGUAGGUUUGCUUGAGUCCAGGAGUUCUGUUCCCCGCUGAGCUAUGUCGAUCUGGUGUCCACACUAAGGUCAGCAUCAAUAUGGAGACUCUGAGGGAACUUGGUGCUGCCAGGUUGGUCUAAGGAGGAAAAAUCCAACCCAGGCUGGACACAGAGCAGGUAAAAUCCCCUGUGUUGGUUAGUAGUGGGAUAGCACUUGUGAAUAGUGAGUGUUGCACAGCCUGAACGACACAGCAAGGCUCUGUCUCUC
ensembl:misc_RNA Metazoa_SRP Metazoan signal recognition particle RNA